AGUGAACGCUGGCGGUAGGCCUAACACAUGCAAGUCGAACGGCAGCACGGGAGAGCUUGCUCUCUGGGUGGCGAGGGGCGGACGGGUGAGGAAUACAUCGGAAUCUACUUUUUCGUGGGGGAUAACGUAGGGAAACUUACGCUAAUACCGCAUACGACCUACGGGUGAAAGCAGGGGAUCUUCGGACCUUGCGCGAUUGAAUGAGCCGAUGUCGGAUUAGCUAGUUGGCGGGGUAAAGGCCCACCAAGGCGACGAUCCGUAGCUGGUCUGAGAGGAUGAUCAGCCACACUGGAACUGAGACACGGUCCAGACUCCUACGGGAGGCAGCAGUGGGGAAUAUUGGACAAUGGGCGCAAGCCUGAUCCAGCCAUACCGCGUGGGUGAAGAAGGCCUUCGGGUUGUAAAGCCCUUUUGUUGAGAAAGAAAUCCAGCUGGUUAAUACCCGGUUGGGAUGACGGUACCCAAAGAAUAAGCACCGGCUAACUUCGUGCCAGCCGCCGCGGUAA
rnacentral:rRNA from 1 species